UGCAUAGCUAUUUGGUACUUUAUCCAUACAUUGUGAAACAGACCCUUAAUAUAUCUAAGACGAAGGCACUGGAAGAUACAAUAAAAGAUGUUUUGUUAAUUAAAGGUGGAUGACUGAAAUACCUAGACCAUUUUUGUACUCUGAAAAUCUCUGUUCAUUUUCUAUAACCUGUUUUUUGAAGGAAUAUGCAUCUUGCAGUUUCAGUAUACAUUGGUUACAUAUAGCAUAUUGUCUAGUGUUAUCAGGUGAAUGGCAAAUCUGAAACAAAUUACAACAAUAUCAAAAACAUAAGUCAAGUAGGAGAGUUCAAUAUUCAAACAAUUUAGUUUGUACAACAUCUAUAAAUAUGAAUUCAAUUCCACUCCUACCACUUCUCUGUCUGUCAUUCCACAAUAGCACAUUUUGCCGCACAUAGUGUGCAGAAGAAGCAGAAGCCCAUCAAGGUAUUUCCCAAUCAAUUCAACUUAAGGUUUUUCAAAUAGAAAAAGAUCAAAUUCUUAAAAAGCUUGUGUUUAGUCUUUGGACACAUUAAGGGUUUCAUUUUGUUGUUAAUUAUUACAGUACUUUAACUUGUAGAGAUGUGGAGAUUCGUUUAACUACAAAGUUACAAUAGGUUAGUAGUGUAGUAUUACAAACAAAAACCUUACCAUAAUAUCAAAGCAAAUCUUCAACAUAUCUUCGUAGGUUAUCGUAUUAAUUAAAUCCGUUAAACUUUGAAAACAACCUUCAGCAUGACAACAUCUGCACAAGUCCAUUUUUAAUUGUUGUUCUUAACGAACUGUAAAGAUAAUAUGAUUAAAAAAUAAAAAUUAAGAGUAACUCGA